rnacentral:rRNA from 1 species
AACGAACGCUGGCGGCAGGCUUAACACAUGCAAGUCGAGCGCCCCGCAAGGGGAGCGGCAGAAGGGUGAGUAACGCGUGGGAAUCUACCCACCUCUACGGAAUAACGCAUGGAAACGUGUGCUAAUACCGUCUACGUCCUUCGGGAGACCGAUUUAUCGGAGAUGGAUGAGCCCGCGUUGGAUUAGCUAGUUGGUGGGGUAAUGGCCUACCAAGGCGACGAGCCCUAGCUGGUCUGAGAGGAUGAUCAGCCAGACUGGGACUGUGACACGGCCCAGGCUCCUACAGGAGGCAGCAGUGGGGAAUAUUGGACAAUGGGCGCAAGCCUGAUCCAGCCAUGCCGCGUGAGUGAUGAAUUCCCUAGGGUUGUAAAGCUCUUUCACUGGUGAAGAUAAUUACGGUAACCGGAGUGGAAUCCCCGUCUAACUUCGUGCCAUCCGCCGCGGUAAUAC